GUAAGAUCUUUUUUUGGUGGUAUUGUGAAAAAUGAGGGUUUGAGUGAGGUCUUUGGUUAGAAAUGAAAGAGAGAUUGGAGAGAAGAACGGUUGUGUGCCGGUACUUUUUGUAUCAUGGGUCAUAGAGAGUAAGUUUAGUUUAUUAGUCCUGAAAGACUCGGAGCUAUUUUUCUUAUUGUCUAAGUUGCUUGUGGUGUUGCAGUAUCAUGAGUAAGAGGAAGAUUGGGGUGAUAUGUCUGUCGAAGAGUCUGAUAGCUGGUUAGUCGGGAAAUGCAUAUAAGUGCAGCGAGGGUCAAUGGGUUUGUUAGUCUAGGGUGCAGGGUCAUGAUUUCUUAGUGAGACUCAAAGGGUUAAUCUUUUGAGCUGGGGUUGAGUUAGAGUACUGUUAAGUAGGGUUAAGGGUGCCUUUCUUAUUUUGAAGGUUUGUUCAAAGCCGUUUGUAUGUGAUUUUUAAUUUAUACUGACGUUCUUUACUAAAGCAAUUAGUUCAAGAAUUAGUAUGACAUGCGUAAGUGUAGAAAUUUAUGAGUUUGAUUACUUUUUGAAAGUAGAAAAAGUUAGCGAUAGAAGGUUUAGUUGAGGUAGAUGAAAGAGUCUUUUGUGGGAAAAAUGAGUCCAAGGAACUCGGCAAAUAUUUUCUUCGCCUGUUUAGUAAAAACAUCGCUCUUAGUAGUUGAGAUAUUGAGAGUCGUGCCUGCCCGGUGGAUAAUAAUUUCUAAACGGUUGCUGUUGAUAGCAGUACGAAGGUAGCGCAAUCACUAGUCCUUUAAUUGGGGAACGGAAUGAAUGGUGUGACGUGGAGAGUCUGUCUCGGAUUUAGAAGUUGAAAUUUAUUUUUACGUGAAAAGGCGUGGAUAAAAAUAUUAGACGAGAAGACCCCAUCGAGCUUGAUGAGGCUCAUUUUUGAGGAAGUGGGUUAAAGUUUAGUUGGGGUGACUGGGUGCAAAUUUAACGUAUCUGAGGUUUUAUUGAUAUGGACCCUUUAUUAAGGAUAUAGAGAAAAAGCUACCGUGGGGAUAACAGCGUAAUGUUCUUGGAGAGAUCUUAUUGAAGAGAGAUGUUGCGACCUCGAUGUUGAAUUAGAGUGUUAUCUUGGCGCAGUCGUUAGGAUUGUGGGACUGUUCGUCCUUUAAAAUUCUACAUGAUUUGAGUUUAGACCGGCGUGAGCUAGGUCGGAUUCUAUCUUUAUUUUGGACCUCUUUUGUACGAAAGGAUCGAGAGGUUGAC
rnacentral:rRNA from 1 species